rfam:Trichoderma harzianum strain T6776 Scaffolds0037.1, whole genome shotgun sequence.
UACUAUGAUGAGGUAAUUUGCGGUUGAUCACAUGCGGUGGCUCCCUCGCCGGGGAUGCUAUACCAAAUGAACAAAUGAGAAACUUUUCUUACAUAUUCUGAGC